rnacentral:lncRNA from 1 species
AUUCUGAUUGACAUGAUGAAAUGCAAUAUGAAAUGCUAAAUGAAUGCAUGAAUGAGGAGGGCAAAUUUUGGGGUGUUACACUCUUAACCCUGGCCGGGGUGAGCUCAUGACAAAGAGAGCGUGGGGAUCUAGAAAGUGAGAUCCUAUUCCACUUGACAGACACUGGACAAAGAUCUUGGGUACAUGUUCAAAAGCAUCAGCAUAUAGUGCGAGCAUAAUGAACGACUCACUGAAUAACGGAGGAUUGACUACUAAUCCCUUUU